CCUACGGGGGGCUGCAGUGAGGAAUAUUGGUCAAUGGACGAGAGUCUGAACCAGCCAAGUAGCGUGAAGGAUGACUGCCCUAUGGGUUGUAAACUUCUUUUAUAAAGGAAUAAAACGAGGCACGUGUGCCUUUUUGCAUGUACUUUAUGAAUAAGGAUAGGCUAACUCCGUGCCGGCAGCCGCGGUAAUACGGAGGAUCCGAGCGUUAUCCGGAUUUAUUGGGUUUAAAGGGAGCGUAGAUGGGUUGUUAAGUUAGUUGUGAAAGUUUGCGGCUCAACCGUAAAAUUGCAAUUGAUACUGGCAGUCUUGAGUACAGUUGAGGGAGGCGGAAUUCGUGGUGUAGCGGUGAAAUGCGUAGAUAUCACGAAGAAUCCCGAUUGCGAAGGCAGCUUACUAAACUGUGACUGACAUUGAUGCUCGAAAGUGUGGGUAGCAAACAGGAUUAGAUACCCCAGUAGUC
rnacentral:rRNA from 1 species